rnacentral:rRNA from 1 species
GACGAACGCUGGCGGCGUGCUUAACACAUGCAAGUCGAACGGAAAGGCCCUGCUUUCGUGGGGUGCUCGAGUGGCGAACGGGUGAGUAACACGUGAGUAACCUGCCCUUGACUUUGGGAUAACUUCAGGAAACUGGGGCUAAUACCGGAUAGGAGCCCCUGCUGCAUGGUGGGGGUUGGAAAGUUUCGGCGGUUGGGGAUGGACGCGCGGCUUAUCAGCUUGUUGGUGGGGUAGUGGCUUACCAAGGCUUUGACGGGUAGCCGGCAUGAGAGGGGGACCGGGCACAUUGGGCCUAAGAUACGGCGCAGAGUGCAACGGGAGACAGCAGUGGGGAAUAUUACACAGUGGGCGGAAGCCUGUGACGGCGACGUUGGGUGCGGGAUGACGGCCUGCGGGUUGUAAACCGCUGUCGCCUAUUACGAAGCGGUAGUGACGGUAAUGAAUGAAGAAGCACCGGCUAACUACGUG